rnacentral:lncRNA from 1 species
ACUUUAUGGAUGCUGUGAAAGAGAACAAGCCCACUUGAUUUCUGGUUCAUAUAGUGUUCAGCCAAUAAGAAGACAUGGCAAGAGAUCUGAAGAAGAGAGGGAAAAGAUUGUUUACAGGAUAAAACUACACAGAGCUACAAAAUACCCACUUAAGAAUGCCCCCAAGCAGAUGAAAGAUGAGGGAAGAAAAGGAAUUUGAAAAAUUCCAAGUUUAUUUUUCCUAGAAAAAUAAGGAUCAGACAAAUAAGAAAGAAC